UACUAUACGCUGGUGACAAGGAGGUCAAG
rnacentral:piRNA from 1 species